UCUCUGAUUCAGCGGCGGACGGGUGAGUAAUGCCUAGGAAUCUGCCUGGUAGUGGGGGACAACGUUUCGAAAGGAACGCUAAUACCGCAUACGUCCUACGGGAGAAAGCAGGGGACCUUCGGGCCUUGCGCUAUCAGAUGAGCCUAGGUCGGAUUAGCUAGUUGGUGAGGUAAUGGCUCACCAAGGCGACGAUCCGUAACUGGUCUGAGAGGAUGAUCAGUCACACUGGAACUGAGACACGGUCCAGACUCCUACGGGAGGCAGCAGUGGGGAAUAUUGGACAAUGGGCGAAAGCCUGAUCCAGCCAUGCCGCGUGUGUGAAGAAGGUCUUCGGAUUGUAAAGCACUUUAAGUUGGGAGGAAGGGCAGUAAGUUAAUACCUUGCUGUUUUGACGUUACCGACAGAAUAAGCACCGGCUAACUUCGUGCCAG
rnacentral:rRNA from 1 species